rnacentral:rRNA from 1 species
AACGUAGGACACAAGCGUUAUCCGGAGUUACUGGGCGUAAAGGGCGUGUAGGCGGAUGUGUAAGUCUAUUCUGAAAGCUCCUGGCUAAACUGGGAGAGGCGAAUGGAGACUGCAUGUCUAGAGUGAGGAAGAGGAAAGUGGAAUUCCGCGUGUAGUGGUGAAAUGCGUAGAUACUGGGAGGAACACCAGUGGCGAAGGCGGCUCUCUGGGACGGUACUGACGCUGAGACGCGAAAGCGUGGGGAGCGAACAGG